GUCAGCACAUGUACGUCUGGCCGACGUCGGCCCAAUAUCGAAACGUCGGCCUCUAUACCUAAAACAUCUAUAAAACAUCGGCCUGGCGGAGGCCGAUAUAAUUUGGUCAGUGCUCUGCUCUCCAGCUCAUCAAUCGUCGGCCCUGAGUUGGUUCACGACUGCGGGCCGAUGCCGCGCUUAUCUGUGUGCGCGUGCCCAGUAUUCGUCUCUUUUAGCCACCCAGAGAGAGAGAAGAGGAUAAUCCCAGCGACAACUGAGACUUUCAGGCUUCCAGAAAUAAUCCGGUGAAAUAAUAUGAUGUUUCUUUGUGUAAAUGCUGUGUGUGCGUUGAGUCCUGCGAGAGCGGGGAGCAGAGUUGCCAUGGAAACGGGGCAUCAACACAAAAACCGUUACUGGCAAGCAGUAAUCUCCGUCUCUUGCUGUAGUUUACACUGUUUUGGAAACGGUUUAGUGUCUUCGGAAAAGUCCGUUAUCACUUUAGCAGUUUUCAGGUAACGUUAGGCUAACGUUAACUAUAUAGAUUGAGCUCUUGUUGAUGAAACUCUGGGCUUUUAAUCUAAUCUUCGAUUUGAUUAAAACAAAAGGAUUUUUAAAUUAAUUAUUGAAUGAUUAUUGAACGAGACUGUACAUUAUAAAUGCUUUAACUCUAGAUGUUUGUUUGUGUAAAUGCUGUGUGCGCGUUGAGUCCUGCGAGAGCGGGGAGCAGAGUUGCCAUGGAAACGGGGCAUCAACACAAAAACCGUUACUGGCAAGCAGUAAUCUCCGUCUCUUGCUGCAGUUUACACUGUUUUGGAAACGGUUUAGUUUCUUCGGAAAAGUCCGUUAGCAUUUUAGCGGUUUUCAGGAGGACAGAAAUAAACUCUACAGAACAGAAGUGAAGCUCCAAGAUUUCAACAUUUCUGAAGGGAGAUUCUGACUUAGAAAUACAGGUGACCUGAAGAAGCUCAUGAAAAAACAUGAAUAUGCCUUUUUCAGAAUACAUUUCACCAAUUUUAAGAAGUCCCUGACAUCAUAACCUUGUUUCCUUCUAAUGAACCUGGAACUGUAGAGUAAAUAUUGUUGACUCUGUGUCAGAUUGCUUGUUUUGUUCCUGGAUUCUUCAGUGAUGACGAUCAGAGUCUGAGUGAACCUGCUGUCAGACAGGUUGGCCUGAUUGACGAUGCCAUCGUCCAUCGCCGAUGGCUGAUAGACAUCACGAUGCUGCGCCGGAAACAGCAUCAUCAGCUCCAGUAUCUCGCCCGUGCAUCUGUUGUCAUGCGACAGAGAAGUCACGUUCUAUAGACAGUUUCUAUAGACAGUUGUGAACGUGCUGACAGCUGGUUGCCCAGGCUAUGGAUUAAAGGUAAUACUGUUGGCCAGCAGAGCCCUGCUCACCCUGACGGCCCACUGCUGCUGUCAGACAACAUCUCCAAGAUGCUAUAAACUGCAGGACCAGAUGGCCACCGCAAGGUUUCUAGAGAUUACAGCAGCUCCAGACUGAAUCCAAACUCACUCGUGAAGACUUCAGAUGAGACCAACGCUCACAAAGACUACAGACGACAACUGUACAUGAACACACAAAACAAAUAUUAUCCUUAUUUUGCCUAUAAGGGUAAAUUUGAUGAUUUUCAAACUGCUUUAUUGUAACGUCUCUUAUAUCUGUAAAUGAACAAUAUUUACUCUCUGAGUUAUGUGGACCUACAUGUCCCCUUUUAUUUGUAAGCAUCACUUUAAAAAUGUUGAAAGAUAAUGUUAAUGUUAACUGAAUACAAAACUAGAGACUUGUUUAGUAAGAUUUUAUCAGAAAAUAUUUUUGAACUUUUAUCAUGCAAUUUAAAACAUUUUAAUUGCUUAAUUAGUAUUGUUUGCCUGGUUUUAUUUUGUGUUUAUGUAACUCUUUUUAAAAAGUUCUUGGCAUAAAGUUAGCAUGCGAUGCUGACAGCACUGAACACAUGACUUUUUAUUAUGAACUAGAUGGUCUUCUCAGUGAGUCUCAGUCAUCUCUGGCUUUUUAAACUGUAACCUUGAAACAUGCAUUUCUGUAAACCUACUUUGAAAUAAGUAUUGUCAAAAGGUGCUAUACUCAUACAACAUUUAACCAGAGAUGUAUAGUAACGAAGUAGAACUACUUCACUACUGUACUUAAGUACUAAAAGGCGGUAUCUGUACUUUACUAGAGUAUUAUUUUUUUCUCCUACUUCCACUUUUACUUCGGUACAUAUUUUCGCUGAGUUUAAUACUUUUACUCCGAUAUUUUUUUUAUGUGCUGCAUCGUUACUCGUUACAAUUAUAAUAAUGUUACGAAUCAUUCCAUUACAAACCACUGCCAGAACUGUAGAUGGCAGGUUUGAUGAAGCUGCCACAUCAUUGAGCGAAUCAAGCGAGACUGCGCGUGCUGACUGAACUGCUGUGAAGAGAGAGAUGAACACCGAGCCGAGCCAGAUAAUUUCUCGUUCACGAGUCAAGAACCGGUUGCAUCGGUUCUCGGGUGACCAGUAACGUUAGUUCUUUCUGACAGUUCGAUUCAAUAAACCAGUUGAAGAAAACAGUUCACCGAUUCUUUUGCGCUCGAUGCAAUGGCGUCAUUGGCGUUGUCUGCACAUGGGCUCAUAACAUUAACACAGAAUCAGUUCAGAAUCAAUCACCAAAAGAAUCAGUUCGGUUCCAGACGCUCUGUGUGUCGGUUUGCUUCACGCUAAAUCACACAUGCGCAGUAUCAUCAGCUCCUCGGUUCACGAAUCGGACGCGUCUGACAGAAACGGUUCUUGACUCGUGAACGAGUCAUUAUCUGGCUCGGCUCGGUGUUCAUCUUCAGUUCUCUCUUCACAUCAGUUCAGUCAGUCUACUGUUUGAGUCAAUGAAUUACUCCGGGAUAUUGGUUUGUUUUAACUCAGAGGGAGUGUCAGACACAUUAAACAAGUUAACAGCUUAAUUCAUCUGUGGAUUAAUGCGUAUUGGAAACGCGAACCGUUUAAAACGAUUCAGUUCGAUUUGGUGAACUGUUUCAAAAAGAUCCGGUUACAUCGAAUGAUUCGUUCGCGAACCAGAUAUCACAAACUGCUUUGUUUUUAACUGUCUUACAACAGACACGGAAGAGAAGACAAUGCUGAAUAAAGUCAUAGUUUUUGCUAUUUUUGGACCAAAAUGUAUUUUCCAUGCUUCAAAAAAUUCUAAAUUACCCUUCUGAUGUCUUAUGGGUUUGAAACAACAUGAGGGUAAGUUAUUAAUGACAUCAUUUUGCAAAUUGGGCUAACUAACCCUAGUAACAGUUUUUUGUUUACAAGAAGUUACAGUCAAAGGAUUUGUGAUUGUCCUUUAGGUUAAUCAUUUGAAAUAGUAAAAACAAAAUGUUCAAACUUUUGACUUCUUUCUUUAAUAGCUACAUAACACAAUACUUCUACUUUUACUUUCAGUACUUGAGUAGUAAAUUUUAAAAUAGACUACUUGCAAUACUUAAGUACAAAAAAUGUUGAAUACUUUAGUACUUCUACUUAAGUGUGGUGCUUAAAGAGCACUUCUACUUCUACUCAAGUCACUUUUUUGAUAGAGCACUUGUACUUUUACUCAAGUAUGGUUCUCUAGUACUUUAUACAUCUCUGCAUUUAACCAUGCAAGUACUGUAGUAAUGGUUAUUUUUGUUUUUAAUAUGGGUUUACUGCAAAAGCUGUAGUAAAAUCAUGGUGAUUGUAGUAAAACUAUGGUUGAUUUUGUUUUUCUAUGGUUUUACUGCAAAAGCUGUAGUAAAAUCAUGGUUAAUGUUCAAAAGACUACAAAUAAUCCCGAAUUAUCCACUUUUGAUCAAAGCAUCUGGUAAAUGUUAUUGUAUUUGUACAUGUAAUAUGAAAUAAAUGAAAAUAUUAAUAAAGUUGCGUCUGUUCUUGA